CUCUCUCUCUCUCUCUCUCUCUCUCUCUCUCUCUCUCUCUCUCUCUCUCUCUCUCUCUCAAUAACACCAUCACCCCUACAAUUGUCGGACCAUCACACGGCCACCUAUCGAACCACCACAUGUCGGAUAACCACUUGUCAAUUUACCACCUACCGGACCACCCAUUCCUCUUAAAUCACACGUACCACACCCUAAAAAGAGAUCCACAUCAAGAUCUACAACUCCAUUACCCAAGUUUCGACGAAGAGAAGAAGCCUAGUGGUUUCAGAUUGGGGCAUAAGGAGGUCAAUGAUGGCGGUGAUCCGAUGUCAGAGUACAGAUCUGGUGGUUCCGUUGGAGGUAGAAAUUCACGUCAUAACCUUCCCCAUUUGUUGACAAAUGUCGUCUAGGGUUCCGAAUAUGGUGACACACAAAGGUUAGAGUUGUGAUGACGAAUCAGUUUGAUGCGUUAGUCGAACAAAUCAAAUUUGCGUUAGGGUUCCGGUAGACUUCGAGUAUGUGAAUGGAGGUUGUACUCCAGUGAAUAAGCAAUCUUCCAGUAAAGAAAGGUGGUUGAUUUGAGAGAUUUCCGAUGAGUUUUGAUAGAAUGUUAAGAGACUGAGAAGACGAAAAGCUAUCUUAGGGAAAAAGAAAUGUAAAUGGAUGGGGAAAUAAUGUAUACAGGAAAAAAGAGAGAAGGGGAAUAAGCACGAGGGAACUCCAGGAAGAAUGACGGUCAACGACGAUGGUUCCGGUCACUAUGGAUCGUGGAGCCGGUCACUAUGGAUGUUGGAGCUGGUGAUAAAGGGGUUUCUCUCCUCCUAUAAAGAUUAGAGGGACUAACACUCAAUCAUAACAAUUAGAAAAGUCAACAUUCCACUAGUUGAAGUUACGAAGCAGCUGCAAUUGAGGAUGGGGGCGCUUCAAUGUUGGCGAUAAUAGCUUAAAGGUUUUUCAAAAUUUUACAUUGAUGAUGCUAUAUCAAUUAGUCUGUGGUCUCUUGAAAUCAUGAGAGCCAUGAUCUAUAUUCAUGGAUGCUUGUUUAUGGUGUUCGAGAGAAAAAUCAACUUACAAAAAGUAAGUUGAUCGGUGUGAGAGGUUUUUUCAAGAAAUGGAAGACUAUGUGAGUAUUAUUGGUUGUUCGGGAUGAAGUUUCCUUUUAUAUACUUUGGUUUACCUGUAAACAUGAGUCAUAUUGAAAGUUGGAAUGAAGUUAUUGAA